AAUCUUCAUGGUUGCUGGGUAGGAGAGCGUCCUGCGAGGGGCGAAGCGGCCGGGUAACCGUGCCGUGGACUUCGUGGGAGUGAGAAUGCAGACAUGAGUAGCGAGAGACGGGUGAGGAUCCCGUCCGCUGGAUGACCAAGGGUUCCGGGGCCACGUUCGUCGUCCCCGGGUGAGUCGGGUCCUAAGGCGAGGCCGACAGGCGUAGUCGAAUGGAUGAACGGGUGGAUAUUCCCGUACCGACCAUGGACCGGCAAAACCGAGACGGUGAGUACUAACCUCCGCCUCGUGGUGGUUCCUUCCUUCGGGUUGGUAUCGCCGCGUGGUGUUGGGAGCGUAGCCGCAGUAGGUCAGCGCAGGGGUGACACGGAAUGGGAGCCGGCCGCGGAGGUGGUUUUCCGUGGUCAAGCACGCAGCCAGUCAUGUAGGCAAAUCCGCAUGGCGCGCAUGGCGAGGUGUGAUGAUGGGAGCCGUUAUGGCUCGAUAUCCGGUUGUCCAGGCCGUCGAGAAAAGCCUCGGCGUGAGGGCCAUGGCCGCCCGUACCCCAAACCGACACUGGUGGUCAGGUAGAGAAUACCAAGGCGAUCGAGCGAAUCCUGGUCAAGGAACUCGGCAAAUCACUCCCGUGCCUUCGGUAUAAGGGAGACCCGCUGGGGUGAACCGGCUAGCCCGGGGAGCUUUGGUGGGUGGCACAGACCAGGGGGUAGCGACUGUUUACCAAAAACACAGGUGCAUGCGAAGGCGAAAGCCGCUGUAUAUGCACUGACGCCUGCCCGGUGCCGGAAGGUUAAGAGGAUCCGUCAACUCUUCGGAGCGAAGCGGUGAAUUCAAGCCCCGGUAAACGGCGGUGGUAACUAUAACCAUCCUAAGGUAGCGAAAUUCCUUGUCGGGUAAGUUCCGACCUGCACGAAUGGCGUAACGACUUCCCCACUGUCUCGACCAGGAGCUCGGCGAAAUUGCAGUACGAGUAAAGAUGCUCGUUAAGCGCAGAAGGACGAAAAGACCCCGGGACCUUUACUAUACCUUGGUAUUGGCGUUAGGCGCGGAUUGUGUAGCAUAGGCGGGAGGCUUCGAAGCGGGUGCGCCAGCAUUCGUGGAGCCGCAAGGUGAAAUACCGCUCUGUUCUCGUUUGACGUCUAACCUCGACAAGUCAUCCUUGUCAGGGACAGUGCCUGGCGGGUAGUUCAACUGGGGCGGUUGCCUCCCAAAGAGUAACGGAGGCGCUCAAAGGUCCGCUCAGCCCGGUUGGCAAUCGGGUGUCGAGUGUAAUCGCACAAGCGGGCUUGACUGCGAGGACGACGGUCCGAGCAGGGACGAAAGUCGGAGAUAGUGAUCCGGUGCCGGCGCACGGGCGCGGCAUCGCUCAACGGAUAAAAGGUACCCCGGGGAUAACAGGCUGAUCAUUCCCAAGAGUCCAUAUCGACGGGAUGGUUUGGCACCUCGAUGUCGGCUCGUCGCAUCCUGGGGCUGGAGCAGGUCCCAAGGGUUCGGCUGUUCGCCGAUUAAAGCGGCACGCGAGCUGGGUUCAGAACGUCGUGAGACAGUUUGGUCUCUAUCCUCUGCGCUCGUUGGAAUCCUGAGGAGGCCUGCCCAUAGUACGAGAGGACCUGGGUGGACGAACCUCUGGUAUGCCGGUUGUCGCGCCAGCGGCACGGCCGGUUGGCUACGUUCGGGAGGGAUAACCGCUGAAAGCAUCUAAGCGGGAAGCCUGCUCCAAGAUUAGGAUUCCAUGGAUCUUCGAGAUCCUGUAGCCCGCAUGUUGAACACGUGUUUGAUAGGCCGGAGGUGGAAGCCCCGUGAGGGGUGGAGCCGACCGGUACUAACGGGCGACGGCGACAUAA
rnacentral:rRNA from 1 species